rnacentral:rRNA from 1 species
UACGAGGGGGGCAAAUGUUGUUCGGAAUCACUGGGCGUAAAGGGAGCGUAGGCGGGUUCUUAAGUUAGGUGUUUAAUCCCGGGGCCCAACCCCGGACCGGCACUUAAAACUGGGAAUCUUGAAUAGUGGAGAGGUCAGUGGAAUUGGAGGUGUAGCGGUGGAAUGCGUAGAGAUCUCCAAGAACACCAGUUGCGAAGGCGGCUGACCGGACACAUAUUGACGCUGAGGCUCGAAAGCAUGGGGAGCAAACAGG